ensembl:lncRNA
GAGAGAAUCCAAAGCUGGGAACACCAGGUCCCUUCGUGUGCAAGAUUAGUCUUUUCUUGCCUGUUGUAUGUUUAAAAUGUAAUGUAUUCUGAACCUUCUGGGACCUAACUCGCAGCUCCACAGGAUUCUGUUACCGAUGAGUCCGCGUGCGCAACCUCUCAUCAAACGCAAGAGGUGCUCCCAGGAUCUCAGCAUCUCUCUCCCAUGGCAGGGACGGGAUAGGCAGCACGAGGGGAAGUUGCUUAUAAGCACCGUCGUGUAGCGUCAGAGCUGCAGGUUUGAAAGCUCUGAGAGCCAACCUCACAGAACCUUCCUGCUCUGAGGCACCAGCACCUUGCUCAUUCACGAAAUCACUCUGAGGAAGAAGGCAAAAUGAAUUUUUGCAUUAGGGACACAUCACUGGUUUCUCCGUAGUGCUGAUAACACAACUUUAGUGAAAAUCUCGGACCUUUUGCUACACAGAAUAACCAUGUUGCCCUGAAUGGUUAUUGUUUAGUGAAACAUCUGAAAACACAUAAUAGACUACUUGUUUGCAACGCUUGCUAUAGAUUUUGUAAUGAAGUGCCGUUGCGCUGCAUCAAUUUGACAGUUCGAGUUGAUAAUUUGACAGAAAGAUUAAUCCUAAACUCCCAGCAUAAACAGAAUUCCCUUUAAUGUCAGAAGGGACUUUGUAACUGCCAGCCCAAACGCUGCGGAUGGGCUUCAGCAGGUUACAGAGAGCGUCUUCAGGAUCAAAUUUGACAUUCCUCUUCCUGACUAACAGUUGGUAGUUGAAAAUAGAACACCUCUCCCAGUUCUGAAUUCUGACCCUCACUUCUUGCUCACCCAAACCGAGGACUUCCAGACUUCUUUUCCCAAACGCUCACCGCGAAGGCUUUUGAAUGCAGAUGUUCACUCGUGUCUCCUGACAGUAGGCUCAGUUUUCUCAGCUACUUUUAAAGUUGUUCUUCCAGUGGCAACAUAUGGAGGACCAUCAACCGUCAAGACGGAAGUUCAUGCAACUGUCAAGACUGAAUUUCAUGCAUUCAGAAUGCUUAGGCACCAUCUGACACUCGUAGAGACCCUAACGUUAAAUACAUCUACUGAACUGUGACAGCACACAUUUCUUGUGUGAAAGCCUAUAUUUCUGAUAAGGAAACCUGGUUCAGCAGCGCUCAAUAUGGAUUCUGGAUAACAUCUUAAAGAGGCCAACCAGCCAUUCCGUGCAUACAGAAACACGCCUGUGAACUUCUCCCUGCAGUCAGCUCCUUCAGCUCCCCACUUCCACGCCAGUGAUGUUAUUUCACCCACACCUUGCAGAAGGGGCGCAUUCCACUCAUUCCUGAGCUGGGACGAGCGCCCGCAGCAUUACUCACCCACAGCAGUGUCUGUAGAUCCCUGUCUGCUGUGGAUACUAAUCUCAAUCCAGAGCUUCCUCAGACGAUUAGAGGCUGUUCUGCAAAAUGUCAAUACACAGCCUCUCCGAAGCCAACACGGUGUGGUGGUUGAAAUGGGAGCCGUGGAGGCUUUCCAAAUAUGAAGGUCUGGAAAUGUUUGGAGGUAUUUUAAUAUUGAUGAAUACUUCAGAUUUUUUUUUUUUCUGUUGCUUCAGUGUAUCAGUGUCAAAUCUGUGCGGAUUAAUGGCAAGACAGAGCCCUAGUACCAUUCGUGUCUAUCAAAGUUCUGGCAAAUGCUAACAACUUACUGCUAUUAAUGAUCACUCUUUGCCCAGAAGUUCACAUAAUUCAUCAAAAAGCCAACGUUGAUAAGCAGAAAGAAAUUAAAUACUUCUGAGUCUUCUGUUAAAAUGCCUUUCUUUUUACUUUGUUUAACAUCUAAUGUCUCCUACAGCAAAAGUAAGCAAGGGGAAGUCUUUUCCUUCUUCAGCACAAAAGAGCACCCACACCACUCAAAAACAGUUGAGAUUAAACCUUUGAAAAGGUAUCAGCAGUGUGUGUAAAGCCAAAUUGGUAAAGUGUGCCCUAGACACCACUUUUGACUCUGGGGAAAAUGCUUUAUCAUCUGUCUACUGCUACGCUCUGCCUAUUCAUCACCAUUACUCAGUAACUCUGCGGUGGCAGCUUUGUACUUAACAUGAAGCCAAAGAUCAGGGAGAGGCACACAUCAAACAAGACUUGAACUUGGAGAUGGCAAACCAUACGUUCUAGACCUCAUUCCUUUAAAGGACCGUACCUCGGAAUGAAACCUGUGAGCCUUUUCUAUAGUUUCAUUUGUUCAAUACAGUGCUCCACUUGUUCUGUAAAAGAAGUUGGCAAAAGCCCUGCUUUCCUGAGAUCUUGUCAUUCAUUGUGACUGAAACCUAAAAGGCUGUCCUAUGGUACUAAGGCAGGUCUGGGGUACCUGAGAGAUCUACCUGCUCCCUAUGCCUCCAUUCCACAUUCUUCACACACCUUGAAACCAAGGAACUGUCAAACACAGAAGCAAAGAUGGCGAGGGGUGUACACCCCCAUUCUUUGCAGCUUUCCAUGGCUGUAAAGUUCCCUGUGAAGUGACCCGAGAAUAUGUACAAUGACAGAAAACUCAUUUCUUCACUCGCCAUUUCUCAACAACAGCCAGUUCCAGCCCUUGUCAUUCUUCUACUUCUCCACACAGACGAAGGCAGGAGAGAAUUCUCUUGGUUUAACUUUAAUAAAUGGGUAAGUCUCACAGGCAUUACAAUGGUAGGAGGAGGUGCAGAAAAGUUGUGUGUGGUUGGGAUACGAUGGAAAUUUCUCUGUUAUUUUAAAAUUAUUUCUUCCUUUAUAAUAGAUCAUUUGUGCUUAUACACUCCUGAAAAUGCUUUUAUAGCAAUCUACAUCAAGUUCUUCCUAAAAAGCAUCCCUCCUCUUUUUGUCUUUUUGUGAAGAAUAGAUUUUUUUUUUACAAUAAAGAUAGUGGUUUAUACAUUUGCUCAUAAUUCUGUAUUUCCCCUGUGAGCUUUAUUACAUGAUAUAGUAU